rnacentral:lncRNA from 1 species
CCGAAAUUAGGAGUGUCUGGUCCUCACUCACGCGGCUCUCUGCUGCUCAGGUCGAUUUUCUCUCCCACCCUCACCCAGGCUCUUUCCACAGCAUCACCCCUGCCCCAGCCCCUGGAGCCACCUGCUUUCCUAAGUGGUUUUGGAAACUGGGCUGAGGUCCCAAAGGGUGUCCACUGUGCUGUUGCUCUCCGCUCUGUCCAAGCAAAGCACAAGCUCAGCCGACUUUGAAAGACACCCACCGCCUGGCCUGGGAAUGCACAAGUUCAGAGCUUUGCAAGAAGUGAUCAUGGGCUAUGGCUUUGUGAAAAUGUCACCCUCACCAGUGCCUUUUUCGCGGACGUGGACGUGGAGGAAUGAGGGAGGGUAAUCACUGGGCUACCAAGGUACUGCUAAGAGCAGAAGAGAAAAUCCCAGUUUUCAGCCAUGUGUCUGGUUUGACAUUUCACCAACCCAUUUAAGUGUGCAGGCCCCCAAAUAUCUACCUAAAGAUUAUGAUAGUUUAGGCAUUUUACACUUGAAAUUAUUGACCUCAUAUCCACUGAAGCCUGACUGGCCAGUGUCUCAAAGACACAGAUGAUGACCUGAUCCCUCAGGAACAGCUGGUGCUCCAGCUUUGUGGAGGUGAAUUUCAAGGUAUGGAUUACUUGGGGGGUCGUUGAAACCUGUCAGGCUCAGGAACAGAUGGUGCUCCAGCUUUGUGGAGAUGAAUUUCAAGGAAUAAAUCCAACUUGAUCAUAACAUCCAACUGUGUUGCCCAGGCUAGUCUCAAACUCCUGGAUUCAAGAGCCCCUCUCCUCUCAGCCUACGAAAGUGCUGGGAUUAAAGUCCUGAACUGACAGCCACAAGUGGCACCUGAACAGGGACUUGAACAAAGAAGGUCUGCUGGAGCAGAAAAAGUGAAACUGACCAGAUGAAUGAGAAACCCUGGGAUGAGUCUGCCUGCAGAGGAUAUAAGGAGAUGGAUAAACCGUGUGAGUGCCCUCAAGUUGUGUGCGACCAUGGAAUGGGAGACUGGAGGGAUACAUGGAUCCCAACUACAGGCCCAGCUCCUCCAGUAUGAGCCAUGAGCCAGUUGAAUCUGAAUGUGAAGAUGGAAUGAAGACCGACGAGAGUCACACUGACGUCAACCCUCAUAACAUGGGGUCAGAUCAAGAAAACCACACCAGAAGCUGAGAAACUGGUGUAGUGCCAGGGUCAGGCAAAAACCCCUGACUCCAUGUUUAUGGCCAUGCUAGCUGUAAUAUCCUGUGCAGUAUGAUUUUUCUGUGCAGAAGCAAAAACAUAUUGGGCAUAUUUUCCUAACCCACCGGUAGUGUGAUCAUACUCUGAAGCAGCACUCCUCCUGAGAUAUAUCAUGAUCAAGGAGCAUCAGUACCAGGACCUCUAACUCCCCCUGACACAGAGCAAUUAGACUCUCAUAACAAUGGUAUCAAUUAUACCACUCCAUUGGAGGGACUUCCUUUAUGUGUCACCCAGGAUACAUUGCUCAACUGCAGUUGCCUUGCAGUUUGAUCCCAAGCAUGGUUGAGUUACCAU